rnacentral:rRNA from 1 species
GACGUAGGGCGCGAGCGUUGUCCGGAUUUAUUGGGCGUAAAGAGCUCGUAGGCGGCUUGUCGCGUCGACUGUGAAAUCUCAGGGCUCAACUCUGACAUUGCAGUCGAUACGGGCAGGCUAGAGUCCGGAAGAGGCGAGUGGAACUCCUGGUGUAGCGGUGGAAUGCGCAGAUAUCAGGAAGAACACCAACGGCGAAGGCAGCUCGCUGGGACGGAACUGACGCUAAGGCGCGAAAGCGUGGGGAGCGAACAGG